rnacentral:rRNA from 1 species
GAUGAACGCUGGCGGCGUGCCUAACACAUGCAAGUCGAGCGAUCUUCUUCGGAAGAGAGCGGCGGACGGGUGAGUAACGCGUGGGUAACCUGCCCUGUACACACGGAUAACAUACCGAAAGGUAUGCUAAUACGAGAUAAUAUGCUUUUAUCGCAUGGUAGAAGUAUCAAAGCUCCGGCGGUACAGGAUGGACCCGCGUCUGAUUAGCUAGUUGGUAAGGUAACGGCUUACCAAGGCGACGAUCAGUAGCCGACCUGAGAGGGUGAUCGGCCACAUUGGAACUGAGACACGGUCCAAACUCCUACGGGAGGCAGCAGUGGGGAAUAUUGCACAAUGGGCGAAAGCCUGAUGCAGCAACGCCGCGUGAGCGAUGAAGGCCUUCGGUCGUAAAGACUCUGUCCUCAAGGAAGAUAAUGACGGUACUUGAGGAGGAAGCCCCGGCGUAACUACGUAGCCAGCAGCCGCGGUAAU